rnacentral:rRNA from 1 species
ACGCACGCUGGCGGCGUGCUUAACACAUGCAAGUCGAACGGAAAGGCCCCAGCUUGCUGGGGUACUCGAGUGGCGAACGGGUGAGUAACACGUGGGUGAUCUGCCCUGCACUCUGGGAUAAGCCUGGGAAACUGGGUCUAAUACCGGAUAGGACCGUGCUUUAGUGUGUGCGGUGGAAAGUUUUUCGGUGCAGGAUGAGCCCGCGGCCUAUCAGCUUGUUGGUGGGGUAAUGGCCUACCAAGGCGGCGACGGGUAGCCGGCCUGAGAGGGUGUACGGCCACAUUGGGACUGAGACACGGCCCAGACUCCUACGGGAGGCAGCAGUGGGGAAUAUUGCACAAUGGGCGCAAGCCUGAUGCAGCGACGCCGCGUGGGGGAUGACGGCCUUCGGGUUGUAAACCCCUUUCGGCAGGGACGAAGCUUUUGUGACGGUACCUGCAUAAGAAGCACCGGCUAACUACGUG